UAAGACGAACCGAGCGAACGUUGUUCGGAAUCACUGGGCUUAAAGGGCGCGUAGGCGGGUUUGCAAGUCCGGGGUGAAAUCCCACAGCUCAACUGUGGAACUGCCUCGGAUACUGUGAGUCUCGAGGGUGGCAGGGGUAUGCGGAACUAUCGGUGGAGCGGUGAAAUGCGUUGAUAUCGAUAGGAACUCCGGUGGCGAAGGCGGCAUACUGGUCCACUUCUGACGCUGAGGCGCGAAAGCCAGGGGAGCAAACGGGAUUAGAUACCCCGGUAGUCCUGGCCCUAAACGAUGGGAACUAGCUAGUAGGCUUCACAUGGGUUUACUGGCGAAGCAAAAGUGCUAAGUUCCCCGCCUGGGGAGUAUGGUCGCAAGGCU
rnacentral:rRNA from 1 species